CCUUGUCGUGGUGAGUGGGCUUUCAACCAAGACAGGCCGUACUAAAUGUUUAAAACCAGUGUUAUUAACUUAUUUUCUCUCUCAUGUAGUACGAUGUAGGACACUAGGGAGUGUCAUGGCUGUCUUUCUGUGGGCGCGAUGAUCCAAUUAACACUCUGUGGCUGAAAGAUUGCUGUUCAUUCCAUCUAACUCCUCAGACGUGCACACCUACUCUCCAUCAACUCAUCAACUCAACAGUAUAUAUACCCCGGCUCUCAAUCCACUCGCCAGAUCGUUCUUUCAGCUACGGUUCACCCACCUGCCUUCUUGGAUUCAAAGCCUCUCAAUCAACCAGGCUCACAUCGCAACUCUGCUCUGAUCAGCCGUCUCCCUUUCACUCUGCAGACCUUGUGAAUCAUCGUCUCAUCUCCCUUCCUCUGCAAUAAACCUCAUUACAAGUCAA